AUUGAACGCUGGCGGCAGGCCUAACACAUGCAAGUCGAGCGGAUGAAGGCUGCUUUCUCCUGGAUUCAGCGGCGCACGGGUGAGUAUUACCUAGGAAUCUGCCUGCUAUGGGUUUAUAACGUCUUGAAACGGGCGCUAAUACCGCAUACGUCCUGUGGUAGAAAGUGGUGAGGUUCGGACCUCACGCUAUCAGAUGAGUCUAGGUCGGAUUAGCUAGUUGGUUGGGUGAAUGCCUGCCAAGGCGACGAUCCGCAACUGGUCUGAGAGGAUGAUCAGUCACACUGGAACUGAGACACGGACCAGACUACUACGGGAGGCAGCAGAGGGGAAUAUUGGACAAUGGGCGAAAGCCUGAUCCAGCCAUGCCGAGUGUGUGAAGAAGGUCUUCGGAUUGUAAAGAACUUUAAGUUGGGAGGAAGGGCAGUAAGUUAAUACCUUGCUGUUUUGACGGUAACAACAAAAUAAGCACCGGCUAACUACGUG
rnacentral:rRNA from 1 species